rnacentral:rRNA from 1 species
UACGGAGGGUCCAAGCGUUAUCCGGAUUUAUUGGGUUUAAAGGGUGCGUAGGCGGCCUGUUAAGUCAGGGGUGAAAGACGGUAGCUCAACUAUCGCAGUGCCCUUGAUACUGAUGGGCUUGAAUACACUAGAGGUAGGCGGAAUGUGACAAGUAGCGGUGAAAUGCAUAGAUAUGUCACAGAACACCGAUUGCGAAGGCAGCUUACUAUGGUGCCAUUGACGCUGAGGCACGAAAGCGUGGGGAUCAAACAGG